rnacentral:rRNA from 1 species
UAGAAGUGAGAAUGCCGGUAUGAGUAGCGAAAGACAGGUGAGAAUCCUGUCCACCGUAAGACUAAGGUUUCCAGGGGAAGGCUCGUCCGCCCUGGGUUAGUCGGGACCUAAGGAGAGACCGAAAGGUGUAUCCGAUGGACAACAGGUUGAUAUUCCUGUACUAGAGUAUAUAGUGAUGGAGGGACGCAGUAGGCUAACUAAACCAGACGAUUGGAAGUGUCUGGCCAAGCAGUGAGGUGUGAUAUGAGUCAAAUGCUUAUAUCUAUAACAUUGAGCUGUGAUGGGGAGCGAAGUUUAGUAGCGAAGUUAGUGAUGUCACACUGCCGAGAAAAGCUUCUAGCGUUAAUUAUACUCUACCCGUACCGCAAACCGACACAGGUAGUCGAGGCGAGUAGCCUCAGGUGAGCGAGAGAACUCUCGUUAAGGAACUCGGCAAAAUGGCCCCGUAACUUCGGGAGAAGGGGCGCUGACUUAUGGUCAGCCGCAGUGAAUAGGCCCAAGCAACUGUUUAUCAAAAACACAGCUCUCUGCUAAAUCGUAAGAUGAUGUAUAGGGGGUGACGCCUGCCCGGUGCUGGAAGGUUAAGAGGAGUGCUUAGCGUAAGCGAAGGUAUGAAUUGAAGCCCCAGUAAACGGCGGCCGUAACUAUAACGGUCCUAAGGUAGCGAAAUUCCUUGUCGGGUAAGUUCCGACCCGCACGAAAGGCGUAAUGAUUUGGGCACUGUCUCAACGAGAGACUCGGUGAAAUUUUAGUACCUGUGAAGAUGCAGGUUACCCGCGACAGGACGGAAAGACCCCAUGGAGCUUUACUGCAGUUUGAUAUUGAGUAUCUGUACCACAUGUACAGGAUAGGUAGGAGCCUAUGACCUCGGGACGCCAGUUUCGAGUGAGGCGUUGUUGGGAUACUACCCUUGUGUUAUGGCUACUCUAACCCAGAUAGGUUAUCCCUAUCGGAGACAGUGUCUGACGGGCAGUUUGACUGGGGCGGUCGCCUCCUAAAAGGUAACGGAGGCGCCCAAAGGUUCCCUCAGAAUGGUUGGAAAUCAUUCGCAGAGUGUAAAGGUAUAAGGGAGCUUGACUGCGAGAGCUACAACUCGAGCAGGGACGAAAGUCGGGCUUAGUGAUCCGGUGGUUCCGCAUGGAAGGGCCAUCGCUCAACGGAUAAAAGCUACCCUGGGGAUAACAGGCUUAUCUCCCCCAAGAGUUCACAUCGACGGGGAGGUUUGGCACCUCGAUGUCGGCUCA